AGGAUCUUCAUCUCUUGGUCUUAUUGUUGGUCUGUGUCUUGGACUGAGCGUCAUGUUUGUGAUUUUUUUCUUGGUCCUGCUGUGGUGCUACAAAAACAAAAAUCUCUCUCGGUCUCCCUCGGCUGUCAGUCCACAGCAAAACAUCAGUCAGACAUCAGAUCAAAAACAGACUGAAGAUGUUUACACUCCACUGCAGUUUGGAGAUUCUCAUCUUUACGACUGUAUUAAUACAACAGCUAAUAAAGACACAAGCUCAGGAAGUUAAACUGGAAGGGAAGAGAUCAAGAUGUUGCUUCUGGAUCUGUUGGUGUGACUUAUGCUCAAGAUUAUCUAAUAACCAGAGGAGAAAAAUACGGCAAAAAUUUAACUAAUGCUCAAUAUAAUCAAUAUAAACCUUCAUGUGCAUCAGAGAAAGCUUGCUAUUCUUUAAUUGUCUAAUUGCAUGAUAGUUUUUUAGCAUAUUUUUUAUUAACAUUUUAUGUAAGUCUGGUGUGCAGCAUAUAGCAUCUAAGAUGACCUGACUUUCAGUCCUGACCUAAUAUACAUGAAUAAUAUUUGUCUGAAUACUUUGUUUGUUUCUUAAUGCAUUAUUCAGCUUAAUGGCAUAAUAGGGUACAUCAGAGUUGUCAUUUGUACCAAAAUGAUUUUGUCCCAUACUGUG